ensembl:misc_RNA 7SK 7SK RNA
GAGUGUGAGGAUGAUCCUACUGGGGCACCGAGCACCCCAUUGAUUGUCUGGGCUGAGUUUACUAACCUGAACAGUUGACAGGGUGGCCAGCCUCCUUCCUCACCAUUCUACAAAUGUCCUUCCUGGUACUGCACAGCAAAUCAGGAGAGCUUUCCUCAGCAAAGCAUCAUUCUUUGGCCAGAGCUGUAUGAUGACUUUGUCUGUUAUCUGGCAUUCUAGUUCAUCUUAUUGGACUAAGUAGUAUACUCAACAGAAAUAUUAUAAUUGUUCAAAUAAUGCAUGGCAUUAAAAUGA